rnacentral:rRNA from 1 species
GAUGAACGCUGGCGGCGUGCCUAAUACAUGCAAGUCGAGCGAACAGACGAGGAGCUUGCUCCUCUGACGUUAGCGGCGGACGGGUGAGUAACACGUGGAUAACCUACCUAUAAGGCUGGGAUAACUUCGGGAAACCGGAGCUAAUACCGGAUAAUAUAUUGAACCGCAUGGUUCAAUAGUGAAAGACGGUUUUGCUGUCACUUAUAGAUGGAUCCGCGCCGCAUUAGCUAGUUGGUAAGGUAACGGCUUACCAAGGCAACGAUGCGUAGCCGACCUGAGAGGGUGAUCGGCCACACUGGAACUGAGACACGGUCCAGACUCCUACGGGAGGCAGCAGUAGGGAAUCUUCCGCAAUGGGCGAAAGCUUGACGGAGCAACGCCGCGUGAGUGAUGAAGGUCUUCGGAUCGUAAAACUCUGUUAUUAGGGAAGAACAAAUGUGUAAGUAACUAUGCACGUCUUGACGGUACCUAAUCAGAAAGCCACGGCUAACUACGUG